AAAAAAAAAAAAAAAAAAAACACAGAAGUUAUCACACCUCAAACAAAUGCAAGUUAAAAGAGGAAUCUCAGCUUGUAGCACACAUAGGGAAAGAACUCACCCAAAAGUAGGUUAUUGGCCCUAGAAAAAUGAAACCAGACUUCUCUUCCAGAAGUUACAACCCUCCAAUUUCCACCAUGGCAAUAAUUUUUUUUUAAUAACGAUUUUUAUUUUUUCCAUUAUAGCUGAUUUACAGUGUUCUGUCACUUUUCUGCUGCCCAGCAAGGUGACCCAGUCACACAUACAUGUAUACAUUCUCUUUUCUCACAUUAUCAUGCUCCGUCAUAAGUGACCAGACAUGAGAGGAACUCCAUAUCUUUUCUAAUCUGUAGCCAAAAUACCUGUGCUAGGUAAAAUCUCAAUGAAUGUUUGCAAAAAAUAAACAUUUGCAAAUAAAUGCAAUAACAUUUAUCUAUUUAUUUGUUUAGUCCUUUUAGGCCUCACCUGCAGCAUAUGGAAGUUCCCAGGUUAGGGGUCGAAUCAGAGCUGUAGCUGCCAGCCUACACCAUAGCCACAGAAACUCCAUAUCCAAGCCCCAUCUGCGACCUGCACCACAGCUCACAGCCAUGCCAGAUCCUUAACCCACUGUGUGAGUCCAGGGAUCAAAUCUGUAUCCUCAUGGAUAUUAGUUGGGUUCCUUACUGCUGAGCCACAAUGAGAACUCCAUAAGUGUAAUGAUAUUUAAGCAAAUGUUAAAACGCAUUUUGUACUGAAAAUGUCUUCCUAGAAAAGCAGCCACAAAAAUAGUAUUAUGUGGAGUUUUGUGUGGCACAGCAGUUAAGGAUUUGGCUUUGUCACUGCAAUGGCUUGGGUCAUGGCUGUAGCAUGGGUUCGAUCCCUGGCCCAGGAAAUUUACACCUGCUGUGAGACUGGCCAAAAAUUCAGUAUUAUCACACUCAGUGCAUCCAUCAAAUUGUACAUAUUCUUCCUUAUUGAUAUUCAAGUGAUCACAGGCUCAAUUUUUCUCUCCCUGUUUCCCCACUUUGAAAAAAUAUAUAUAAUAAAAUAAUGACACCUACCUUAUAGGGUUGGGUAGAGAAUUAAGAGUUAUUAUACAUAAAGCACUUAAAAAAAUCCAAGUAUGCAGUUCUUUCAACAUUACCUGCUUAUUUUAGUAGUAGUAGUAAGAGUAGAACUAAUAAUAGCAGUCAAAAGCAUCUUUAGAUGUCCCCACAUUUCCCAGUUUAGAGUAUAAAUAAUACCAAUAUUAACAAAUAUACUGUCUAGAAUCUUCAUCAUAAAAGACAGACAUAAGCUGUUCAUUUGUUUAUUCAUUCUAGAAACAGUAAGCAGGUUUGUCCUUCUUCUGGGAAGAUAUAUUAGACAUGAGCAUAUUGGCAAAGUUGUCUCUGCUCUCCAUGAGUGUACAUCCCAGGAUGGGAAACAAAUUAAAAGCAAAUAAUUUCAAAGCAAUUCUAUCCAAGACAGAGGUAAGACCUAGGACUAACUCAGUAGCAAAUAGCUAAAAGCUGUUGUAAAGGGGAGUUUGUACCUCCACUCCAUUUUAUGCCCCCAGCAGCCCUGCAGGGUUGGUUUUAUUCUCCCCAUUUUGCACAUAAAGACAUUUGGGGAGAAUGGUCACUAACCUAGAGUUGGACUGCCAGGGUGUGUUAAGGCGGAAUUAACCAUAGGUCUCCAGAGACCUGAUUCCACGGUUUUCCAAAACCUCAGCCAUGCUUCCCUGGAUCAGGAGGCUGAGAGUAUUGGCUGGGGCACUGCAUACUCCGUGGUGUGGCUGCCCAAACCAUCCCUCGUCUGGACACCACAAAUGGAGCAGAAAGAAAAAUGGAGAGAAGCCAUUUCAUUUUAGGACUCUUGACUGCAGUCUGUUCAGUCUGGCCUGGUUUCUUCUUGGUGCUUAUGUCCAUGCUAAUCGCUGUGGCUAAAUGGUGUCAUCGUAAAUAAUGAUGCUGCGGUGAAACGUUUAAUCUUCCCUGGGGCUGGUGGACCUCUUCAGCUGUUGGUCUAGUGAUAAGCUGAGCAAGGGGAGUGUAGCGUCUGGUUUUCGUGAAACCACUUGUGGACAAUAUUAAUGAAUGACUGAUAUUUAAAUAAAAGUGAUUUGAGUUGGAAUGACAAAAAAUGUAAACAAUAUGGAUUCUGCUUUUCACCAAGUUAUUUUUUUUUUCUCUUCCUCUUGGGUUUUAAAAAUUGAGGGACCAUCAAAAGGCCAUCUUCUCCUUUUCUCAUCUGUUGACUGAAAAAAAUUCUGAAUAGUCCUCAUCAGCACUCCCUCCUGGUGCCCUACCUCUAAAGCCUGGAAGAGAUCUACAAACAUAAAUAGUGGCUCUUUGCCCCUAUUCCUCUAUUUGUUUGGCAUCGAUGAAACCGCUCUGUCUUCCAGUUUGGAAAGUUUAUUAUUUAAAACUCCAUUCACACAUCUCUUGGGCCAGAGUGUGUUAAUUUCUUAUACAAUUCUAAAUAGAUGACUUGGAACUGUUAUUUCACUGUCUACCAGGAGUGUUUCAUGAAGUCUGGAAGCCUACCUUCACCUUCCUCUAAUCACCUUUUGCCUAAAUUAUUAUCCCUAACCAUUUCUCAAUGUUUUAUUAGGACCAUUUUCAAACAUACAAUAAUGUAAAAUGUAUGCAGCAAAUACCUAAACUUUUGGGGGUGUCGAUACCCAUUUAAUGUCUAACUUUGGUAAUCCAGCCAGCCUUUUAAUUUUUUCACUCAUCCCAUCUCUCUCUCUCUCUCUCAGUCACACACACACACACACACACACACACACACACACACACACACACACACACACACAGAUACUCAUCAGAGAAUUAACAAAUGGACAAGAAAGGAGUUCCCAUCGUGGAUCAGUGGUUAGUGAACCUGACUAGUGUCCAUGAGUACAGGGGUUCGAUCCCUGACCUCACUCAGUGGGUUAGGGAUCUGGCAUUGCAAUGAGCUGUGGUGUAGGUCACUGAUGCAGCUCGGAUCCUGCAUUGCUGUGGCUGUGGUAAAGGCUGGCAGCUAUAGCUCCAGUUCAACCCCUAGUCUGGAAACCUCCAUAUGCCUCGGGUGCAGCCC
rnacentral:lncRNA from 1 species